UGGACACUCAACCAACUGAGUCACCCAGGUGCCCCAGUAGUCUGCAUUUUUAAGGAGAUGCACAGUUUAUACUAACAUCAUUUGUGAGAUUAUGGUGAGCAUACCAUGAAAAUAGAACUGGCUGAGUCAAUAAGUGCUUGGGUAGCCAUCUAUCUAUAUGAUGUCGUGUGAAGUUGAAGAAAAUCAGGAUGUGCCACCCCACAAUGUUCCACAUGGACUUGCUAUUGUAACGAUAGUUUCCACUCCGGACUCACUCCUAAAGAUGGGAUCUUUUCCCCAGCAUGUUACCUGAAAGUCAUUGUCAUUGUUAUCCACCACUUUUGGUUGGUACGUUCACUAUAAAAUAUACAGGAUAUGGAAGUAAAGCAAUGGAACCCAAAUAAAAGUGGAUGUUUGUAGAGCACUCAGACUUGAAAGAAAGAGAUGGUGUCUCUCUCCAGAGCAGAGGAUGGGUAUGCUGACUGUCCAGGAUAAUAAAGGAUUUUUACCUCAAUAUCAAGGAUUUGUUGUCUCACCACUUUGAAGAAUGAAGAGGUGGACACAGAAUGGGCAACAGGCAAAAGUUUAUUACAGUAUAAGAUUAGAAAGUAAGAAUAGUAGGAAAGCUCUCUUUACAGAAAGUGGGCAUUGGAAGGUGAAUACCCACGGACUAUAGGCAAGGGUUCUGGUUUUAUAAGGUUCUGGUCAGCAUUCCUUUCCCUUCCUCCUCCUUCCUUCUCAGGUUCUGCCCUUACUGGCUGGAUAACUCUAGGUGCUGGCUUGUCCAUUCCUAAUUCACUCGACUCCAUUGUGUGAGGGGUCAGACUAGUCAUACUGUUCUUCCUAUAUAACAUAAGUUUUAUGGUUUACUUUUUUAGCUAGGUAUUUUGAUUGUCAAACUCCUGAGGGAAAUCUGAAGGGGAGUAUAUGGUGUCUGUCACAUUCUUAAGAGGGACCUUCCGCUCGAGAGGGUUUGCGGUAGUCGAACGCUCCCAGCAUUGUUCCAAAAUAUGUGUUUUUCCUCACCCAGGGACCUCAGGUCCUAACCUUUCCCUCUCUGCCUAUUUUAACCUAUCUUUUCCUAUCAUACUUACACAGUAUUUCUGGCACAUAGUAGGUUCUUAAAGAAUGUUGACCAAAUUUGUUUAAAUACUAAUAGUCCUAUAAAAUAACCAGAUCCCAAUCUUUUUUUUUCUUUUUCUGUUGGUAUUCACUGGCCUGUUCUACACAUCACUGCAUACUCAAGACCUUAUGCUAGGGCUGCCUUGUACAGUUAAUAUACUGCACAAAUAUGUCUAGAUGAAGGAGUUUAAGGUAGCUUAAAUCCAACUUGUGCUUUAUUUGCUGUAAGCCCUAAUAUUAGCAUUUGUACCCUCUAAAUCACACAAAUACAUCAUAUGGUCUAGUGGCUAUGCUGUCAGUUACAAUGCCUGGGUCACAGGGUUCUAAAUAAGGCCAGCUGGACAUGUUCUAAGUUCUGUUUUGGAGAAUUGCCAUGAAAGCAAUUUUAAAGCACAUUUUUCAACAAUUACCUUGAUUUUUGUCUUGCUUUGCAACAAGUUUCAUUUGCCAAGGUCGGGUGUUUGAGCACUAGGGAGCACAAGUUAAUCCUUUAUAAAAGUCUGUUUGAUUUAGAUUCUACUGAAGGUCUUGAAGAGAUUGGAUUUGUAGCCAGGGGCCUCUCAAAUAUAAUCACUACCUUGGUAACUACAGUCACAACCAAGAAAGACACAGAUUCCUCUUUAGGGAGUUAACUGUCCUUUUUGUUGAUUUUGUUUUGGGGAUUAGAGUAGAUUUAUCUAUUUUCAUGAUCUCUGUUAUACAAAUUUAUGCAGAGACACUUUCAAGUAGGGUCAUAAUUUGUCUUGAAUAAUACUAAUUUUCUUUUUUAUGUUCAUGGGUAUUUUUUUUUAGACUUUGAAAGGCGGACCUAUUUUUCAACACAAUCGUUUGCUAGUGUUUCAUUCCUUCACAUACUGACUUCACAUUUCCAUUAACCGAUCCCCAUUUUUUCUCUACCAAAAACAAAUAAAUUCCCCAUACACACAUAAAAAAUUAAACACCAUUUUGACUUUUUUGCAGUGUUUAUAAACUGCAUUUAAAUUCUUUAGGAAGUAACUAAAACAUUGACAAUAACAAUGGAAAGUGGUAUAUUUGCUUGGAUUAAGAAAAUUGGUUUUUAAAAUUCUUCAUGGUAGUGUAAAAUAUUUAAUAUAAGAUAGUAAUAUAUUCCUUCUUCUGAAAAACAAUAUCUUGAAAAGGCUAAAACAGUUGGGAUGUAUAUCAAUAUCUUCUAUUACCCUCAACUUUACUAAUGUCUACCUUUUAGACUUUGUGUAAUUGACAGAACUAGCUUUUUUUCAGCUUUUGUCUAAACCAAAAUAGAUUCAACUGUCUUCCAUUAAGCAUUGGAGAGCAUUAAGCUUUAAGCAUUAAAUUUUUGCCCACUUGUAAGAAGCAAAGAUUCUUAUUUGUCUGUUUCAAGACUCAUCAGAGCACAUUCUUCAGUUACCAUGGAAACUAUCUCCAGCUAAAUUUGAGAGGGUCUCUGAACAGAACUGAAAUGCCAACACUAAUAGAAAGAGCCAUGUUUUAAUUCUUCUGGAUAUUAUUUUGCCUUUUCUUUUUUUUUUUUUUUUUUUUGGUCUUAGCUGAGGUACCAAAUUAUUCAGCAAGAACACAAUGACUUGGCUAUAAAUGAUUCUGAAGAUAAUACUUGAGCAAAAAUUUGAUUUGAUAGGGAAAGAGUGAGAGGAUUGGAAAACAAAGCUGACAGAAUUCAUACUGAUGAACAUAAAUUUUAGUUUUCAAAGUUGGGCAUUUCACCUACGUAGGUUUUACUAUUGAUUUCAUGUUCAUUUGUAUUUGCAUGUUCUCAGAAAAAUAAGUGAGAGUCUGUGAGAUGCUUAUUUUUAGAAAUUAUUUUAUAACCUUUGUCACUUAAUAUAGUUGUACUUUUAGCCAGUACAUCAAAAAUAUUGCAGCAUUUCCAAGUGUAAGAGAUAUUUAGAAUUUUGUUUUAUUUGGUACGGUUAC